rnacentral:lncRNA from 1 species
GGAGGUCAAGCUGGAGCCGGAGGCAAGGUUGGAGGUAAAGGCAAGGUUGGAGGCAAAGGCAAGGUUGGAGGCAAAGGCAAGGUUGGAGGCAAGGUCGGAGCUCAAGGCGAAGUUAAAGUCGGAGGUCAAGCCGGAGUCGAAUUAGGAGCUAAAGCCGGAGCCAAGGUUGGAGGUAAUGGCAAAGCCGGGUGUGGACCUACGACCGGAGCCAAGGUAGGAGGUAAUGCAGGAGCCAAGGUCGGAGGAAACGUCGGAGCUAACAUCGGAGGAGAAGCCGGAGGAUUCUUCGGGGG